rnacentral:lncRNA from 1 species
GACGGUCUAAAUAAUACACUAGAAGAUGCACUGUUUUUAAUAGUGUAAAAUUUUUUUUUCUCAUGUUCAUACAUCUUGAGGUUGAGAUGAUCGAAUUGAGGGUUUUUCAGCAUCGAAACAAUCUUUUUUAAUGAAUUUUUGAGGUGCGCUUUAAUUUGAUUUUUUUGAGCCUCACACUAAAACAUUUGCUACUUCUUUGUGAGUUUGCUCUUUGAGUAUAUUUGGG